rnacentral:rRNA from 1 species
UUCCAGACUCCUACGGGAGGCAGCAGUGAGGAAUAUUGGUCAAUGGUCGGGAGACUGAACCAGCCAAGCCGCGUGAAGGACGAAGGUGCCAAGCAUUGUAAACUUCUUUUGUCAAGGGACAAAAUCAGGCUCGAGAGCCUGACCGAGGGUACUUGAAGAAAAAGCAUCGGCUAACUCCGUGCCAGCAGCCGCGGUAAUACGGAGGAUGCGAGCGUUAUCCGGAUUUAUUGGGUUUAAGGGGUGCGUAGGCGGAUUGAUAAGUUAGAGGUGAAAUGUCCGAGCUCAACUCGGGAACUGCCUCUAAUACUGUUGAUCUAGAGAGUAGAUGCGGUAGGCGGAAUGUAUGGUGUAGCGGUGAAAUGCUUAGAGAUCAUACAGAACACCGAUUGCGAAGGCAGCUUACCAAUCUAUAUCUGACGUUGAGGCACGAAAGCGUGGGGAGCAAACAGGAUUAGAUACCCGAGUAAA